ACUGUUGGGUGUUUUUUGAUUUCUGUGUUUCUGGGGAGAGCUGUCUGCAAUUUUCUUGUCAUUUCUGACUGGCUUUAGCGGUCUGGAUGACCCUGUAAAAUGGGCCAUGAAGCAAGCAUGUUCUUAUCCCUCAAUUUACUAAAAAAGUUUGUGACUUAUUUUUUUCCUCUCCUGUGCUAGGAUUAGAAUCCUGCCUUGGGUGUGCUGGACAGGAGCCCCACCACUGAGCUACAUCCAUGGGCUUUACUAAGUUUUGAGAUAGGAUCUUGCUCAGCCCGUUGGAUUCUGCUGUGGCAUCCCUGUUCAGCCAUCACAGUGAAGGCUGCAGUAGAUUUUGAGAUAUUCCAUCUGCCUUUCUACAAAGGAGCUUUCCUGACGGGAGCAGUCCUCCAGAGAGAGCUCACAUGGUCGGGUCUGGACAGACUGGUAGCCAGCGCUGAGCCCGGUUCCCCUUCGCUCUGUGCUGGGAAUAAGCCGGGUGGGGGAUCCGUGAUGACCGUGGAAACUCAGCUCAGAAGCUGGGCAGCCCAGCAUCCAUCUGGUGGCAGCAGCUUUGCAAAUGGGACAGCAAGCCUGUGGGUUGGCCUCUGUCCCUCACUGCCGAGGGAAUUUAUUAUCUGCUUUUUCUUAUGUUGAUGUUGGAGCCAAAGUUUAUUGGUUAUAAAUGUUAAAAACAUAAAUCUGUGGUAGCUAUCCCCACACAUCUGGGAAGUCCACAGUCAUACCUGGACAGACACCCAAAGUAGGUGUGUUUGUGGGGCGGGGGAGGCAGUGCCACUUGAGGAAGUGCUGUCACCACGUCUCAGGAGGAACACAGACUCUGGGUCUCCACCCACAUCAUUGCUCCUAGGUGUGGACUUAGCACACGUGGUCAGGGAAGACAGACUGAUGGUGGGGGAGGCUUCCAAGCUGGGCACUGCCUGUGGGAACCUCUACAGGGGCUGGAAAGCAGGGAGGACCAGAAUUGUGUCUGGCAGGCACAGCUACACCCUAAACAAAGCCUGGCAUGGCAGACCCUUUCAUUGGUAGCCUUUGAGUGAUGUGUUAGAUGCCCUUCCUCCUUGGCCAUGAAAAGACAGGGACACAGAGCCUCAGAGGAGAGGGGUGGGCAGCGAGAAGCCCCUUCAGCACCAGCCUCCGUCAGGCAGUUAGGAGCCUCCCGAUCUGACUCCUGACUCCAGAGCCAAGAAUCUUGGAGAUGAGCCCCACUUCCGUGCGGUGAAAGAAGAACCCGAUGAGAAAUGCCGUUUGGAGCAGAUCGUCUCUUAGACUUUGGAACGAGAUGACAGUCCUUGGAGCAUUGCGUCCCUGUUGGGGUAACGGGGUGUCAUUUGUCACAAAGCGAGGGACUGGGGCUCUGACCCCUGGCCUGCCACCACGGUGACGCUCUGACAAGUACCCCUGCCACCUCAGCACAGGCAGCGUUUCUAGACCUGCUCCACCCCUCUCCGCUUCACCACCUGGAAAUCCCUUCCCUCCUCCGCUCUGUCCCUUCCUCCCCUCCCUUCCUCCGUCAUUUCUUUCCUUGCCCCCCCUUGUCCUCCCCCUCCCUGCCUCUCCCUCUUGUUUUCCUCACCCUCUCUCUCCCCCUUUCUUCCUUUCAUUCUUCCCUGUCCUCAGAGAACCGCACAGAGGAAUGGACAGACUUCGAGCUGGCCCCUGCCAUACUCCUGGGACCAGGACCACCCAUGGUGGGCAAUGGGUAAAUACUUUCUAGUGAGGGAGCAGCAUCUUGUCACCAAGGGGGCUGAACCAUCGUUCCUGGGGUGUGUAGAUACUCAAACGCAUGUGCUCGGAGCCUGUUGUUUCUCUCCUGCUGCACUUAGAUAGUGGGCUUCAGGGCCCACUCUGAACCCACCGGACUUCUCCUCUGGAUGAAGCCUGCAGAGUGUCCAGGUUUGGUCUUUUGCUAUGUAUUGUAAUGCUAAAUACAACCCCCCUCACCCCCCCCCCAGACCUGGUUACACACAUGGAUGAGAGAAUCCACGCAUACAAUGUGACCUGGCUCCUUGAAACUGUUGAUUAAAUAAAGAUGCCGGGAACCUA
ensembl:lincRNA